UGCACAUCACUAACACUGGAGGAUACAUGACUUCUGUCAUCUCCCGAGUGGGAGAAGUGAAGGAGGAGGCAGGCUGGUGCCAGCGGCUUCAGGGGAGCAGAUGCCCGACAGGUGGGCCGUGCCCAUGAAAGGACCGGCCUGCGGACCCUCUCCCUGUCCUCAGGUCUGCGGGAGUCAGCUCUACAAUUCCCGGAGAGGGCUGUUCCAGAACACGGGGCUAGAACACAGAAGGUAAAGAACGAGCUGGAAGUCUGAUCUCUUCAGACUGGAUCUGCAGCCCAAACCGAAUUCUGCAGAAAUGGAAGACUGUUCUAUUUUGCUCCAUCUAAAAGAGUGGGAAGUUUCUUUAUUUUGUUGCACCAAAAACUUGCCAUCCCACGAUUCAGUAGUUUCUCCCACCUUCUCAUAUCCCAGGGGACAAACUGUUAUUUAACAACAACAAAACCCAAAAACAUCAGCAUUCUUCGUUACCUACCUCAACAAGUGGCUUCUUUAAUGGCUGGCUUUCGGGAAGGCCAUCUAAAACCCCCACACCCCCAGAGAACCGCCAAGAGCAUGUGCCAAAGCCACAUUUUAAUUUGCUUGAACUUCUUUAUACCCUUUCUCAUUCCACAAGGGAUCUGAGGGGGCUGACAACUUUCUGUGUCCUCAGCUCAUGACUCCAGACUUACAAUGAGCACUGGCUGUGUGCGGAGGGCUAGAAAUACCGCGGUGGCAAAGGUGAGUCAAACACGUGGUGCAGGCGAGGCACCGUGCAAAGCGAUGAACUCAUUUGGUCUGCGAGAGGGACCACCGUGUUUCACUGAAUCUACAUCACCAUCGAUUGUGAGUGGUACCAUUACACACCACUAAGAAAGAAAAAACAAUCUGUCGAUUAACUGGAAGAAGGGAUACCAGUCAGGAUACUGGAGAUUGUGCUGUCAAAACAGUACCCCAAAGUUCCGGGGCUAAAGAAGAAAGGUAAAUGCCCAUGGGCCCCUCCUCGUCUUCACCAUGGGAUCCAGGCCCACAGAACAGCUUCUCUCUGGAACUUUGCUGGCUGCCUUUUAAAGCCAAGGCCAGGCUGCGAUACAUGUCAUUUCCCUACACACCGCACUGGCCACAGCAAGUCACAUGGCCACCCCGAGCUCCGCAGAUGGGAGGCAGGCUCGUGCAGGGAGGGGCAUUGCAGCAAACACCAGCAGAGCGCCCUACCUCUGCACUGACCGGAAGACAUAGCCUGCAGAGCCCAGUUUCCGAGAUAGUAAACGGUAGAAAAGUGUACAUCCUGGAAUUGAUGAGAUACAGAACUACCACACCCAGUAUACAGAUGCCGACAUCCCAAAGAACAAGGCAAGUGAGCUGCUGCUGUACUGACCCCCUCUUGGACCUCCGGGAAGGCUGCUAAAAAGGCAGAAUGCAGUAACAGUGUCGACCGUGAGGUUUCCAAGGGUCAACAUUUGGAAGUAUCACCAUGAUGCUACAAUAAAAGAAGAAUUCUCAGAAACUGAUUGAUUGUUGUGUUAAGCUAUUACGUGUGAAUCACAAAAUGACAACUUCUUAGUUACCCAGAAGCCAGGAACUCUGAAUUGCUAUAUCAGACCCACCUUGUUUGUUUCCUUGUCUAUGAGCUGGAAGACCAGAGCUAAGACUGGCUGGAGGCUGCGGAAUGGGAAGGACACGACAGCUCCAGGAGCUUGUCCGGGGCCCCAGGAACCCUCUGCUCACUGUGUCUACCUUUGUGUCUAGACGGCUCGUCCAGCUGUCCUCCCCUCUCAGCCACAGCAUGCUGCCUGACACCGUGAUGGCAUUCCAGGCUGUGGAAGGGAAAAGAGACCACAGAGGUUCUGGAGGCCAGAAGUCCAAAAUCAAUAUCACUGGGCUGGAAUCAAGGUGUGAGGGCAGGUGUCCCUGUGGAAGCUCCCAGGGGAGGAUGCCUUCCUUGCCUCUUGCAACUUCUGAUGCCUGCGGCCUUCCAGUCUUCCACGGUUUGUGCCUGCCUCUGGAAUUGGAUUGCCUUCCCUUCUGCCCAGGUAUAAAUUUCCCUCUGUCUCUCUUUUAUAAAGAUACAUGUAAUUGCAUUUUGAGGGCCCACCCAGAUCACUGAGAUCCUUAAUCACAUCUGCAAAGACCUUUUUUCCAAGUAAGGGAACACUUAGAAAUUCCAGGGAUUAGAACUUGAUCUUUGGGCUGGGGAGGGGCCUUGUAUUAUCCAGCCUGUUACAGGGGUACUCAGUGCUGAGAGGAUGAAGGAGAAAAUGGCCUUUGCCUCAUUCAGCAAUCAGAAUCAGGAAACUCUGGUCAAUACAGUGAACCUCGCUCAACGCUGAGCACCAAAGAAUUCAUCUCUAGCUCUUCAGGUUUUCCUGGCUUGCUUCUAGACCAGUGUGGAGCCUGAACUGGGCUGUGCCCUGGCUGGGGCCGAGGGGAGCCCUGGCCAUGGGGAAAAGACGGCCACUAAGCAAAGGCAGCAGGCGGCAGGCUGUGUGUGCCUUGAGAACAGUAUCACCCAGAGUGAGAAAGCUCAGUGAGCGCUGCCCAAGGACACACGUGAGGUUCUGGGACCAAUACAUCAAUACCAAAGCCUUGGCAAAGUCCUGUUUGCAGAUCGCAGCCCCUGAAGACGGGAUGCCUUCCACUGUCCCAUCCAUUACCCCCCUCACCCCUGAAAAGCCCGAACAGUCCAGACACUUGUUAGUGAAAUGGCCAUACCCCCUUUCAUCUACUUCCCCAAUUCCACUCCCCACAAUUAACCACCAUUAACAAUUUGAUCCUUCCUGACUUUUCUUCAUGUGUUUAUAAACACACACACACAGAGGGAAAUAUAGUGGUUCCUUUCUACAUAGAUUGGAUUGUGCCAUAUAUGUGUUGUAUUUAUUCACUUAAUAAUAUAUCAUAGACAUCAUUGCUUGUCAAUAAUAAUAAUAAAUUCAGUGUUCAUGCUAUGCUGGGCAAGGGGCCAAGCACUUUCCACAUUUUGUAUUUCUUGUCAUUCUCACACCCCCUUAUUAGUUAGGUAUUAUUAUUUUCCUCUCUAAAUGAUGACAAAUAUUCACAGGGAGCUAAAGUGACUGGUCGGAGGUCACACAGAUGCUGAGUGGCUGAGCUAGAGUUUGAACCCAGAUGACCACUACCUGGACCUCAAUCUUUGCUAGCACCCUUUGCUAUCACAUAGACAUCCUUGGAAAUCUUGUCAGACCACUCUUCCACCGGGAACUAAUCAGCUGUUGCACGGAAAAGCUUAACUUUUGCAUCACUACCUCUUAGACUUCCCUGGAAACUGAAGUGUUCUCCCUGGUUACCGGACUGCUGGCUGGCUUAUAGAGCCCAUGGCUUCAGCUGCCCCAGCUUUUGCGGGGAGGGAGCCCUCAAUUCCAUCCCAGUGGUUGCACCUGCCCUGGUCCCGUCCCUUGGCACCUGCCCCUUGGUCCCUACCUUCUCUCUGCCUCUAAAUUUCUCUUAAACCCUAGUGGAUUUGGCCCAGCAUCUGUCACCCCUGCUCAGAUAAGCUGGCCUUACCUGGAACCUUCUACCUGAAAAUCUACGGUCACAAAGCGUUUUGGACGCUUCCCUGGGCCUGCAGCUAGACACUCCUUCUCUCUGUGGCUACAGCCAAUAGAAAGUCUUUAUAAUCAACCUUUCCUUCUGGGUCUCCCCGGUGGCCUGGAGCAGGCAGCAGGGGCUUGGUACCAAGGAGGCCUCUGCUCCCCUUCUGGACCUUUACCAUGGAAACAGACGUCAUAGAGGAACUACCUCCCCCUUCCCGCCUGUUCAUGUUCCCCAGGUGCGCACCUUCUAGGAAGCUCUGUCCCACUCAGUCCUUCCUACCAUUGAAACCUUCUCUUAUGCACGUGCAGGUGAAAAUAGCCCAUAACGUGGGCCCUCAGCCCCGUGUCUUCAGUCUUCCUUAUGGAGAGCAGAACUCCCAUGUGAGCUGAAUAGCCCCUGCUGAUCAACACGGACACAGAUGCUGGCAGUUGUUAGCAGGGUAGAGAGGCAUUCGCUCCAGAGAAUUGGAGGCUUGUGGUCCGACCCUAGACCUUUGGAAGCUAAGGGUUUGCCCAGGGCAGAAUGAGUCGCUCUGCGGUGCAGGGAAAGACGGCCUCCAUUGUCUCAGCAAUCCCUCGGUGUGGCUACUUCUGGGGAGCCCAGCUCAUGGUCACACGAUGGCCAAAGCUGGCCUCCUGGCCUGUUAGCUUGCAGUCUUCGCUCCUUGACCUAGUUGCUUUAGGCCUCACCACCUUGAGGGCAAACAAAGCAAAGAAAGCAAAAGGGUUGCCACAAUGUUGGCCACAGAGACGCCAUGGUAUCAGGAUGGAGCUGGUCAGAGGUUUCAGGUGGUUUCUCACAGGCCUGGUGACCCUCCUAGCUGCUCCACCCCAGACCAGCUGAAUCCAAAUCUCUGGGAUGGGACCCACGAUGUGUUCAAACAAACCUCCUGGGUAAGUCUGACAUGUGCCCAAGUUUGAGAACCAUUCUCCUGUAGCUCUUUCUGAUUCUCUCUCCUCAGAGGAAACAGGUCCACUUCCCUCACAAGUUGGAGGGUUUUUUUCCUGGGUAGCUGUGGUUUGUCAUUUAGACAAGGUGGCCAGCUCUUGUCAACCCAUGCCCAGAUAUGUCUUGGGCCAGGAGCCAAACUUUUUUGUACUCUGUUAUGAGAAGUCAGGUAUCUACCAAAGAUAAGAAAGGAGCUUAAAGUAUUGCCUCUCUCAGGGGGACUGUUGCUCUAAGAGGCCAAGAAUACUAACAGUGGAAUCUCAAGCUUUGGAUAGGAGAAGAAUUUAGGGGAGACAGCAAAGUUUUCCUGGUUCUUUUAACACCAUCAUGUUGAGAGGGUCCCCUUGUUGUCAGAAAGGGGACCAGACUUUGUCAUGCUUCAUGCAUACAGUUUUAUGUCACUUAGGCUGAAGUCAGACUUCUGAUAACCACAACCUUCUAGAACUCAGGCCUGGAGUGGGAGCUGGGGCCAGUUCACGAAGGGCCUUGAAAGCCGUUUUUAAAAGUUGGUCUUUAUCCUAAGAAUGAUGGAGGAGUCGUGGACGACUUUUAGGCUUAGGAACGCCACCCUCAGCAUUGAAUGUGAGAGACAGCUCCAGCUUCCUCUUGAAGAAUGGGUUGGAAUGGGGCUAAGUAGGGUCAGAAAGAGUGAAUGCUCAAAAACCAGUUAGGAAUACAGGUGAGAGAGAAUGGCAGCUUGACUGAGGGCAUUGGCUGUGGUGAUAGAGAGAAGUGGGCAGAUUCUAGAAAUAUUAAAUAUGGAGGGAGAAGGAAAAAGGAGAACCUAGCACUUACUGUGUGCUAAGAACUGUCCUGCAUAUUGACAUUUAAAGCUUACAGUGACCACCUCAUGAGGUCUGUACUACCAUGAUCCUGGGUUUACAGACAGCACAGAGAAGCUAAACAAUAUGGCCGGUUUCUGACUGGAUGCAUGUAAGAGGGAGGGAGCAAAGAGUAAAAGGCGGCACAUGGUUUCUGACAUGAGUGCUGGGGAGGCUAUUUGGUGCCAUUUGCUGAGAGGCGGGACAUGUGAGUAGAAGCAGGUUUUGGGAGGAGAGAGAUAAGGAGCUCUCCCUUGGACUUGGGUUCGAGAGGUGGAGCCCUCCAGCUGUUAUCUCAAUGUUCUUUCUCAAAGAAGCCCCUGUGAUGCAAUGUACAUGUUUUUAUCAGAAAGGGUUAUGAUGAAAAAAUAUGCAGGUGUUGGGAGAGGGUGAGUUUCAGUGAUGUCGAAUUACUGGGGUGCAUUAUUUUUAGGGCUCUUGGGUUCAGCCUACUCCCUAGGAUUGUGAUCCCUGAAUCAUGGACGAUAAAGCCUUUGUCUUGUCAUUGGUAGCCACUGCCUCAGAGCCUUUAAUUCUCUUGUUCUGCAUGUACUGCCACUUCUUUGGAAAAGGAUUCUUCACCCAAGAGACCAACAUGAAUCAAGUAAAUAUGUGUUUAGGCAGUUUCUAAAAACCUGUAGUUUAGCCCAAGAGACCAGAAAGGUUCCUGUCUCCUAGGUAAACAGCAAUUAAAUGGUGUAUUAAAAUGUAUAUUAUGUCCCCGAUCGGUCCACGGGGUAAUUAUGCAUUUCAGGAAUAUUUUGAAACAUGUGUUCUGCUUUCCUCAGCACUCUUUCAAUCCGUCAAGUAACUGUAUACUUAGAACAUGUGUUCUGCAUAGUAAGAGUCGUUUUAUAAACCCCUCGUUAAAGGGAACCAAACGAAAAGGCAUUAGCUGCAGCCCAUUUUUCAGAAGUGUUUAUGCCAGCCAAACGUAGACAAAGGAAAACAAAACCAUAGCAGCAACGUCAUCUGCCACAGACCCUCCCUGACCGGCUGCAAAAUCUCGAGGGUGAUCUGGGCCGUGAGGAGCAGAUGCUGGGGCUCCCUUGGACACCUUCUGGAGUUAGGUUAGAAGAUGUCAGAAAAGCAAACAGGGAGAAGGGUUACGGCACUAGUGCAGGUUACAGCCCCACGGGAAAAAUUCACACUUCCCCCGAAGAGAAUGAAAAGCAGGUGUUCUCUUGGCUGGUUGGCAACUGAGAAGCAGUGGGCCAAGGUCCAACUCUGUCGAGGGUGUCGUGUUUGCCAAGAGGUUGGAGCGGUUGAACGCUCAGGGUCAUUGGGGAUGGGGUACACAACAGGAGAAGAAGUGGCAGGAUCCCUGUAUCAAGCCUGUGGCCUGAGGCCGAUGGGUUAUCCACAGCUGCCAAGUUUUCUGAGCUCUCUUGGCCUCAUCACUCUUCUCGAGGAGAAGGCAGCACACAGAGCACUUUCUUUUCCCUGGUAUUUCAGUCUCUCCUUCUUAUUCCUGAGGGCUGUUUGCAAGUUAACUCUUCAAGGGCCGUAAGGGAGCAAGGAUGCACUGAGCAUGCCCUUUUCCUGGUCCCAGAGUCUCUCCAAGCCCUUAGCCAUUAACUGGAGGGAACUAAGGCUUCCUCUAAACUCAAUGGACUUAGUGGGAAAGGGUCGCUAGAAACUUUUUGAGCCAAGGUGUUAUCAAGUGUACCGUAAAGGCCCGAAGAGCUACAACCCAGGAGGGGUGAGGAGCUUAGGAACUUAAAAUCUUCCUCGGAAGGGCUGUGGGGUGGGCAGGAGAUGAAAUAGAGGAACUCACUGAAGGCCAAGUGCACCAGGCGAGGAGAGAAGCAAACACAGCAGAACAAAAAGUAGGCAAACAGGAAGUGGAAUAACAGGGAGGGUCCAAACGGAAGUAAUCACUGGAGGGGAAAUUUUGAAACGCAAAAGAGAGGAAAGGAAAAGGAAACCUUUCAGAGGAAAAGUCAGGCAGCGUCAAAAUACAGGCUUUCCUGGGGUUGAUUGAUGAUUGGCUUGCUUUGAAGUUCACCGGUGGUGGAGACCCCACUUUCCCUCUGUCUGUCAAGAGGAGAAUUCAUUCUGUCAGCAAGAUGGCAGCCCCCCUCUCGUUUUAAUUGUCGCAUUACAACAGCACACAACAGCAGCUAUUAUCUGGGAACUGGGGAAUUCUUUUGACAUUAUUUUUGGACCCAGUCCUAAUCAGCUUUAAAGUAUGACACAGAUACAUUCUUCUAAUGUUUAAUGUCUAAAGUCAUCGAUGCUGCUGGAUGAGGAAGGAAACAAGCUGCUUGAAAUGCCUGAGUGGGUCUUGGCAAGGUCUUGCAGCCUGGAGAAAUAACCGUGACCUCAGAACCUGCAGCAGACAGCUUUGAUGUGCAAGAUGCUGGGGAGAUCGAAACAUGCCCUCGAGGAACCCACAGUCCGGUGAGAGACACACUGAAGCCAUGACCUACCUAGCCAGGUGACGCGGCCACCAGUGAGGAGGGCGUCUCUCUGCCAAUUGCUAGAGGAGUACAGAGUGAGUCCUUUCACAAGCCAAGGAGGGAGACAGAGGGAAGGACGUUUCAGUACGCCCAGGCCUUAACUGAUGAAAAACCACUCUUCAGUGGAAAAGAAAAGAACAACACUGGAGGCAGGGAGAACAACCUGGGUCCAUCCCUUUCAGUCCAGGGAGAUGGACAGACCUGGCGCACCGUGGGGGCUCCAUCUCUCAGGAGUGGACUCACAUGAGCUGGACUCACAAUGACUGAUGUAAACGUUUCCAUUCAAAUUUUUAGGAAAUAGACGAUUUUUAAAAACAUUUUUAGAUUCACAGCAAAAUGAGUAGAAAAUACAGAGGUUUUCCAUGCAUGCCCUGCCUCCUCGUACAUCCUGCCUCCCCUAUAUCAAAAGCCUGCACCAGAGUGAUAACUUGGUCACAAUCUAUGAACCUAUGUUGACACAUGAUAAUCACCAGAAGUCCAUAGUUUACCUUCGGGUUUAUUCUUGGUGUUGGACAUUCUACAGAUUUUGACGAAUGUACAAUGACAUGUAUCCACUGUAAUAGUAUCACACAGAGUAGUUUCACUCCCCUAAAAUCCUCUGUGCUCCACCUAUUCACCCCUCCCUCCCCACCACCCCUGGCAACCACUGAUUAUGUUAAUGUGUCCAUAGUCUUGCCUUUUCCAGAAUGUCAUAGAGCUGGAAUCACACACUAUCAUACCUGCCUUUUCAGGUUGGUUUCUUUCACUUAGUAACAUGCAUCUAAGAUUCCUCCCUGUCUAUCGUUCGUUUCUUUUCAGUGCCAGAUAAUAUUCCACUGUCCAGAUGUACCACAAUUUUUUAUUCAUUGGUCUACUGACGGAUAUCUUUGUUGUCUCCAAUUUGGACAAUUAUGAAUGAAACUGCUAUAAACAUUCCAGUGCAAGAUUUUGUGUGGAUAUACGUUUUCAAUUCAUUUGUGAUCGUCUUCGAAAUCCUCUCCUUUUCCUCUUUGACACUGCCUGCUCCCAGUUCUCUUAAACAGUAGACUGUCCUCUCAUCUAUGAGAGACUGUGAGGUCUCCUCAUUAAGUUAUGAGUGGCGAUUCCAUCCCAUUCGUUAUUCAUUUGGAAAAUAGAAAGAGCUUACUUCAU